UCCGAGUUGACCCCGGCAGUCUCCUACGAGUCCCCGCCAUUACGCGCUGGCAACAUAGGACAAGGGUUGCGCUCGUUGCGGGACUUAACCCAACAUCUCACGACACGAGCUGACGACAACCAUGCACCACCUGUAUAGAGCCCUUACGGACCCCCCAUCUCUGGAGGAUUUCUCUAUAUGUCAAACCCAGGUAAGGUUCUUCGCGUUGCAUCGAAUUAAUCCGCAUGCUCCGCCGCUUGUGCGGGCCCCCGUCAAUUCCUUUGAGUUUUAGUCUUGCGACCGUACUCCCCAGGCGGGGCGCUUAAUGCGUUAGCUGCGGCACGGAGAACGUGGAAUGUCCCCCACACCUAGCGCCCAACGUUUACAGCGUGGACUAC
rnacentral:misc_RNA from 1 species